CACGUAGUUAGCCGGUGCUUCUUUACCCAUUACCGUCACUCACGCUUCGUCACAGGCGAAAGCGGUUUACAACCCGAAGGCCGUCAUCCCGCACGCGGCGUUGCUGCAUCAGGCUUCCGCCCAUUGUGCAAUAUUCCCCACUGCUGCCUCCCGUAGGAGUCUGGGCCGUAUCUCAGUCCCAAUGGUGGCCGGUCACCCUCUCAGGCCGGCUACCCGGUCAAAGCCUUGGUAAGCCACUACCCCACCAACAAGCUGAUAAGCCGCGAGUCCAUCCCCAACCGCCGAAACUUUCCAACCCCCACCAUGCAGCAGGAGCUCCUAUCCGGUAUUAGCCCCAGUUUCCUGAAGUUAUCCCAAAGUCAAGGGCAGGUUACUCACGUGUUACUCACCCGUUCGCCACUCGAGCACCCCACAAAAGCACGGGCCUUUCCGUUCGACUUGCACUGUCGUUAAGCACGCCGCCAGCGUCUC
rnacentral:rRNA from 1 species